rnacentral:pre_miRNA from 10 species
UGCUUGCUCCCAGGUUGAGGUAGUAGGUUGUAUAGUUGAGGAUUGCACCAAAGGCGAUAACUGUACAACUUCCUAGCUUCCCCUGAGGUUUGCCC